rnacentral:tRNA from 1 species
GCCCAGCUGGCUCAGUCUAUAGAGCAUGCGACUCUUAAUCUUGGGGUGGUGAGUUCAUGCCCCAUGUUGGGCA